GCUACUACCGAUUGAAUGGUUUAGUGAGGACUCCUGAUUGGCGCCGCCGCCCCGGCAACGGAGAAGCGGACUGCCGAAAAGUUGUUCAAACUUGAUCAUUUAGAGGAAGUAAAAGUCGUAACAAGGUUUCCGUAGGUGAACCUGCAGAAGGAUCACGCUCUGACGAGCGUCGUGUAGGGAACUAGUGUAGAUCUCGUUGUUCGCCUUAUCAUUUUAUUUAUCACUCUUUCUUUUCUCUUUUUCUCUCUUUUCUCUUCUUUUCUUUCUUUCUUUUUUU
rnacentral:misc_RNA from 1 species